rnacentral:ncRNA from 1 species
AUCAUGGAGACCAGAAACCAUUACAAAACGGGGCGUAUUCUGAAAAGCCACACGAGUAGGAAU